GACGAACGCUGGCGGCGUGCUUAACACAUGCAAGUCGAACGAUGAACUCCAGCUUGCUGGGGGGAUUAGUGGCGAACGGGUGAGUAACACGUGAGUAACCUGCCCUUGACUCUGGGAUAAGCCUGGGAAACUGGGUCUAAUACCGGAUACGACUCCUCAUCGCAUGGGUGGGGGGUGGAAAGCUUUUGUGGUUUUGGAUG
rnacentral:rRNA from 1 species